UCCCUGAUGGGUCAGUGGCUAAGACUCCAUGCUCCCAAUGCAGGAGACCCAGGAUCGAUCCCUGGUCAGGGAA
rnacentral:tRNA from 1 species